UCCCCAGAGGCAAAGUUCCACAGCAAUCAUAAGUGGUAGUAGCACUGGCAGUAGUAUAGUGUUGGCCGCUGUCUUGCAUGCUUUCUGCGCAACCCCAUGCCUCUUGGUGACAGUUGCUAAGUAACUGGACAUGUCAAGAGCCUACCGAAGAGCGUGGGGCUUUACUGUGAAAAGGUAUGCUGGAUCAUUUGGCCCAUGCUUCUGCGAAAAUUGUAAUUAUUUUCUAUAAUUAAACUGUAUGAUCAAUAUACCACACACUUAGUCAUGCCAUUAGAGACCACAUGAGAAAUAAGGACUGUACAAAUAGCCAUGAUCUAUCUGCUCCCUGCGGACGAGGUAACCCCAUGACCUACGGACGAGGUAACCCCAUGACCAACGGACGAGGUAACCCCAUAACCAAUGGACAAGAGCUCGGGUCCACACUCCAAAACCGCAACUCCUCAUCUGGCUAUCUAUUGGGAAUAUUGGUGUGAAGCUCAUCAAAAACAUAACAAUCUGAGAUGAGAACACACAGAGGAUUAAAGGAGAUGAGCCACUCUCUGAGCAGAGUUAUAAAGCCAAGAGCCUAUUACCAACAACCAGCACGAGGAGCAUCUCUCUGUCAGACUGCUCUGCAAACACGUGGCCUGAUGUUAUCACCUGUAGUGUUUUUCAGUAUCCCCAUGUUAGCCACUCCAUUGUCUAGGGCUAUAUAGCUAAAUAAUUAAUGGGUUGUUCCAUUUGAUUUCAAUCACUUCUUGAAUGCACCCCUUUUGAUUUGAUCAAAACUUUCCAUACAUAUUUUCCCAUGGUAGAAGUGGCCAGAAAGUAAUUUUUUGGACCGAAAUGCCAAAACAUUCAGGAGAUACAGGUGUUCAAAGUUAACCCAUUUUCCAUACCCCACCAUACCAUGAGACAUCAAAG
rnacentral:lncRNA from 1 species